rnacentral:rRNA from 1 species
AUACGUAGGUGGCAAGCGUUGUCCGGAAUUAUUGGGCGUAAAGCGCGCGCAGGCGGUCCUUUAAGUCUGAUGUGAAAGCCCACGGCUCAACCGUGGAGGGUCAUUGGAAACUGGGGGACUUGAGUGCUGAAGAGGAAAGUGGAAUUCCAAGUGUAGCGGUGAAAUGCGUAGAGAUUUGGAGGAACACCAGUGGCGAAGGCGGCUUUCUGGUCUGUAACUGACGCUGAGGCGCGAAAGCGUGGGGAGCAAACAGGAUUAGAUACCCUGGUAGUCCACGCCGUAAACGAUGAGUGCUAAGUGUUAGGGGGUUUCCGCCCCUUAGUGCUGCAGCUAACGCAUUAAGCACUCCGCCUGGGGAGUACGGUCGCAAGACUGAAACUCAAAUGAAUUGACGGGG